UACGAAGGGGGCUAGCGUUGCUCGGAAUCACUGGGCGUAAAGGGCGCGUAGGCGGCGUUUUAAGUCGGGGGGUGAAAGCCUGUGGCUCAACCACAGAAUGGCCUUCGAUACUGGGACGCUUGAGUAUGGUAGAGGUUGGUGGAACUGCGAGUGUAGAGGUGAAAUUCGUAGAUAUUCGCAAGAACACCGGUGGCGAAGGCGGCCAACUGGACCAUCACUGACGCUGAGGCGCGAAAGCGUGGGGAGCAAACAGG
rnacentral:rRNA from 1 species